GAUGAACGCUAGCGGGAGGCCUAACACAUGCAAGCCGAGCGGUAUUUGUUCUUCGGAACAUAGAGAGCGGCGCACGGGUGCGGAACACGUGUGCAACCUGCCUUUAUCUGGGGGAUAGCCUUUCGAAAGGAAGAUUAAUACCCCAUAAUAUAUUGAGUGGCAUCAUUUGAUAUUGAAAACUCCGGUGGAUAGAGAUGGGCACGCGCAAGAUUAGAUAGUUGGUGAGGUAACGGCUCACCAAGUCAAUGAUCUUUAGGGGGCCUGAGAGGGUGAUCCCCCACACUGGUACUGAGACACGGACCAGACUCCUACGGGAGGCAGCAGUGAGGAAUAUUGGACAAUGGGUUAGCGCCUGAUCCAGCCAUCCCGCGUGAAGGACGACGGCCCUAUGGGUUGUAAACUUCUUUUGUAUAGGGAUAAACCUACUCUCGUGAGAGUAGCUGAAGGUACUAUACGAAUAAGCACCGGCUAACUCCGUG
rnacentral:rRNA from 1 species